UACAGAGGUCUCGAGCGUUGUUCGGAUUCAUUGGGCGUAAAGGGUGCGUAGGUGGCGCUGUAAGUCGGGUGUGAAAUCCUGAGGCUUAACCUCGGAACUGCAUUCGAUACUGCGGCGCUUGAGGACUGGAGAGGAGACUGGAAUUCAUGGUGUAGCAGUGAAAUGCGUAGAUAUCGUGAGGAAGACCAGUGGCGAAGGCGGGUCUCUGGACAGUUCCUGACGCUGAGGCGCGAAGGCCAGGGGAGCAAACGGG
rnacentral:rRNA from 1 species